rnacentral:rRNA from 1 species
UACGGAGGGGGCUAGCGUUGUUCGGAAUUACUGGGCGUAAAGCGUACGUAGGCGGCUUUGUAAGUAAGAGGUGAAAGCCUGGAGCUCGAACUCCAGAACUGCCUUUUAGACUGCAUCGCUUGAAUCCAGGAGAGGUGAGUGGAAUUCCGAGUGUAGAGGUGAAAUUCGUAGAUAUUCGGAAGAACACCAGUGGCGAAGGCGGCUCACUGGACUGGUAUUGACGCUGAGGUACGAAAGCGUGGGGAGCAAAACAGGAUUACGAUACCCGAGUAGUCCCUGAGACUGCCAC